GCCACGGUAAUCAGAUCUGCGCUGUUUGCAUUUCCAACUCGUGACCACUGCCACGGAGACACUUUGGGUGGGCCAGCAGCUAGUAUGUGAUGAACCUCACAGCUGAGGGCAGAGCCAGGCUGUAGGUUGCAACCAAAGUGAGUCAAGAGGGGAAGAAGUGAUCGCUGCGGAGCUGAAAGCCGUGAGACCCGUCAAAUUGAGGGGAAGAUGGCUGCACAGCUGUUUGAAAAUGCCAUACAAAGUCCUACUGAAAAAUGGCCUUCACUAGAGAGGAAGUCAACACCUUUUGUAAAGUGUUCCAUCACUUGAUAAGGAGAGUCACAAACAACAGGCCCCCUGAGCUGCUCUCGCUCACUGUCUCUGAGGUUUUCUGUAGAAGAUGGAGGAGAUAAACUUCCCAGUUACACUGGGCUGUUGGGAUUAUACUUCUGUGAUAUUUUCCUCUUCUGCAAAUUAAUAAAUUAGCGUAGCUUUGCUUCUACUUAACCGGUGUUUUUUGGUUGAUUCCACUAAUCCUUAGAGGUAGAGGAUUACUUUCCCUUCACCUUUACAGAUCCUGAAUUGCCCCAGCUCAU